AUAGAAUUCAAAUCUGGACUCACUCCUGGCUAACCAAGUUCAAGGGGACAUCUGCCUUCAUGUUGUUAUGCAAAAGGAUUCAUGUGACCCCUGAAACCAUAUAGGACAUUGCCAUUCACCUCCAUUUCCUCUAAGAACUGGAAGACUCUGUUGAGGAAGACUCCACAGCCUUUAGAAAAGUGCAGUAACCAAGCCGCUACCAAUGCGGAAGCUUCCUCCUCAAGACUAGCUCUCAUAAGUGUUGAACAAUGGUUCUCAACCUGUGAAUUGUGAACACGUUGGAGUCCAUAUGAUUCUUUCAGACUGGUUGCCUAAGAUCAUCUGCAUGCCAGAACAUGCAGACCAGCUGAGACAGACAGCCUUGUAAGACUGAGCAACUCUAGAUUCCUGAACUUUCCAUUGACAACUAGACAUUGUUGGACCACAGUAUAUAAGCCCUCAUCCAGUGGCUGAUGGAAGCAGAGGCAGACAUCCACAGAUACACACUGAACUGAAAUCUGAAACCUAGUUGCAGAGAGGGAGGAAUGAAGAUCGACGGGGUUGGUACCAGGUUGGAGAAACCCACAGAAACAGCUGGCCUGAACAAGGGGGAGCACAUCGACCCCAGAUAUUGUCUGGGAGGCCAGUACAGGACUGAUCCAGACCCCUGAACAUGGGUGUCAAUGAGGAAGCCUCUGCACUCUAGGAGGCCGCUGGUAGUGGAUUAGUAUUUUUCCCUGGUGUAAGAAGGGACUUUGAGAGGGCUUCCCAAGUGAAGGGAUGCACUCUAGCCCGGACACAUGGGGAAGGGCCUAGGCCCAGCCCAGGAAGAUUUGGUGGACUUUGCGGGGCCCCAUUGUGGGCCCUACCUUGCCUGGGGAGUGGAGAGUGGAU
rnacentral:lncRNA from 1 species